UCCAUGGGAGUGCUAGCUUGCAUAGUCGGCUUCUGAUGGUGGAUCUGAUUUGAUUUUCUCUUUCAAUCAUCUCGAAUUUUUCUAAUAUCGAAGAUAGAUUAGAGGAGCACCUGGAUGGUAGAAAAAAAUCAGAUGAAGACUCUCUUCUCUUUGAUUUUUUUUUUCACCCAGAAACCCUAGAACGAUUUUAGGUCUCUUAUCCGAGAGGAAAUAGAUCUCCUCCUUUGCACACACCAAGAAGGUAGAAACCCACCCCAAACCUCAUGCCCCA
rnacentral:lncRNA from 1 species